rnacentral:misc_RNA from 1 species
CUUAACUAUCCCAACUGUCUAUUGAUGGUACAACGAUGUGGUUCUGCUCCACACCGCUUCACCCGCCUCUCUGCGCAUAAUAUCCUUCCAUUUGUUUUUAAAUAUCCAAUAAUAAUCUUAAUAUGAGACACUCUAAUUCAACAUGUUCAAACAUUAAUCUAUGGCAUUCUUUAAUUCUUUCUUUCAAAUUAUAAUCCUUUUCCAGUCUCUUGGAUUCCUUAAUAUCCGCAAAUAAAAGUGGCUAAUUCCUCUUAAAUUGUUACAGAAUUAAAGUGGUCCCCCAUUUUCUAGAUUUUAUAAGUAGCCCACCACCCACCCCUCCAUAUGCACACACAAGACACAGACAGGAUGAGCGGAGAAGGCAAGGUGGUAUGUGUAACAGGGGGGUCAGGUUACAUAGCUUCAUGGCUAGUUAAUUUCUUGCUGCAAAAGGGUUAUACAGUCAGAGCCACCGUUCGCGACCCAAGUGAUCCAAAGAAAACAGAUCACUUGCUUGCUCUUGAUGGAGCUAAGGAAAGACUUCAUUUAUUCAAAGCUGAUUUACUGGAAGAAGGGUCCUUUGAUUCUGCAAUUUAUGGGUGUGAAGGUGUUUUCCAUGCAGCAUCCCCUGUAUUAAUUUCAGCUACUGAUCCACAGGUUUCCUUCCCAUGCCUUUUGAUUAUAUUCCUAUAUCUUCAUGAUGGAUUAGGAUUGGUCCAAUUAGCCAUUGUUUUUCCAAAAAUCUAGACUCGAUGAAAAUGGGGUUGCAAACCUUACCCCUAUAAAAGAAAUUUUGUCAGUUCUACUCAAAUCAGUAACAACAUAUAGAUGCAUCAGUUUUGAAUUAUAAACAUUAGCCAUUUUAGUUGGUUGCAGGAGGUUAUCAGCUCUAGCUUUGUUAUUGUAUGGCCAUUUUAAUUCUUUUUCUGCUUUAAUUUCUAUCCCGGUGUCAUUUAUGCUUAUAAUUUUGAGGUAUUAUCUGGUUUGUCCACUGUUCAUAAACCGUGUAUUCACAAAAACUUCCAUUUUGUUUUGCUGUAUCUCAGGCAGAACUAAUUGAUCCUGCAGUGAAAGGAACACUUAACGUACUUAAAUCAUGUACAAAAGUUCAGUCUAUCAAGAGAGUGGUUAUAACAUCUUCUAUUGCAACAGUUAUGUUUGACAGAAAACCUCAGACCCCUGAUGUGGUGGUAGAUGAGACUUGGCAUUCGGAUCCAGCAGUUUGUAAGGAAAUGAAGGUGUUCUUUUGUGCUAAUUUCUUAGUACUUUAUAAACUUAUUUAUUUUGGUUUAUAAAAUCUUAUCUUCAAUCUUCUUAAAUUAUUACUUAUUUCCAGAGAUAUAAAAGCAACAUAAAAGAACCAUCUCUGUUCUUUUCUCUGUUGUUCUCUACGUCUAAUUAUAUGCUGAUGCCACUUAAUUUAGUUUCUUUUCAGCUUUCGUAUAUGCUUGCAAAAACCUUGGCGGAAAAGGCUGCUUGGAAUUUUGCAAAAGAGAAUGCAAUUGACUUGGUUACAAUACAUCCAGCAUAUGUGAUUGGCCCUCUCUUACAGCCAACUCUUAAUGCCAGUGUGGCGAUGAUUUUUAAUCUUGUAAAUGGUAGCAUUCAGCAACCGUUUAAUUAUAUAAGAAUUAUAAAUGGUAAUCUUCCAAACAAAAAGGAUUUCUAGAAGAUGAUAUAUAUGUAAAUACGUGGUUAUUUUAUAUAACUCAACUAAACUUAGCCCACUUUCAAUCCAGUUAUAGAUUUUUUUUUUCCUUCAUUCUGUUUGUUUUGGAACUAACCAAGAAAUUUCAAAUUUAUCCCCACUGAUCGAACCAGUCUGCCUUGCAACAAGAUUAUUCUUUAUUUUCUUUGAUAGAACGUCUUAGUUUUCUUGGUGCAGGAGCUCAGACAUAUCCCAACGAAUAUUACGGGUCAACUGAUGUUAGGGACGUUGCAGAAGCUCAUAUUCAAGCUUUUGAGAUUCCUUCAGCUUAUGGCAGAUAUUGUUUAGUUGCAAA